ACCCCUUUAGUAUAUAUAAUAUACUUGACUUCCAAUCAAGUGAUCCUUUUAGGAAGAGGUA
rnacentral:tRNA from 1 species